CACGUAGGGCGCAAGCGUUGUCCGGAAUUAUUGGGCGUAAAGAGCUCGGUAGGCGGUCUGUUGCGUCCGCUGUGAAAACCCGGGGCUUAACCCCUGGCUUGCAGUGGAUACGGACAGACUAGAGGUAGGUAGGGGAGAACGGAAUUCCCGGUGUAGCGGUGAAAUGCGCAGAUAUCCGGAGGAACACCAGCGGCGAAGGCGGCUUUCUGGUCUGAUACUGACGCUGAGGCGCGAAAGCGUGGGGAGCGAUCCGG
rnacentral:rRNA from 1 species